GUGAGCACGAUGGCCACAUUUAUU
rnacentral:miRNA from 1 species